rnacentral:lncRNA from 1 species
AAUGGUCACGUACUUGGAGCAGUCGGUCUUCGUGCUGAUGGGGUAGGGGACGCUCACGCCGCACCUGGCCGGAAGUCCGGAGACAAGAGCGGGGUUGAGGGCAUUUCCGAAGUUGCGAGAAAAAUUCUUCAGGCAGCCGCAGGUGGCUUGGCGGUCCGGGGUUGUGGCGGCAAUGGUGUUCAACCUCCGCACGCCGUCGCAGCAGGUGUUCGUCAGCGGCGCCUGGCCCCGGAUAUAGGAGAAACAGCCGCUGACGGACAUGGCCACCUGCCCGCAGGUGACUGCCGCGGUGGCUGGUGCGGCGACCACGAGGCAGACGAGUACCGCUGCAAUGACGUUGAGGCCAAUGUUCCGGGCCAUGACUUCUGAAACUCUCAGAUCACUAAGAAAUGUCACUUCUCCUUCCUGGACUAGCUAGAGGACUGGGACUACUUCAGCGGUG